rnacentral:lncRNA from 1 species
AGCCGGGCGGUAGGGGUGGGGGGCCCAGACUGCCACCUUGCCUUAUUUGGUCGCCUUCACACCAUCUAGGACCGCCGAGGCCAUUCAUGGAGCCAAGGGCAGGGGAGAGGAUCAGCGGGGGGCUCCCAGACCAUACCCAGACAUGACUGCAUCGUGCCUAUUGAGAAAGAUUGGUUCGCAUCCUAUGAGCCUAAGAAUCAGCACCAGAAUCUCGGCACCUGCGUGUUGGCAGCCAGGAGCAGGUGGCCCAGGCCAUGCUGAUGAUGGUCGCAGUGGACUGGACACAGCGGUGGAAGACACAGUUGCACUCCACAGUUUAUUUACAGCAGGUGAGAUGCCCUCUUGGCAGCCCUGGGGAUAUGGAGGAGGUGGGAGUCUAAAUGAGGCAAGAUGUGUAAGAUAAGAUAGGGAAGGACCAAAGACUGCCCAACUUCAUACAUCAGGGUUAGCAGGAAACAAACAAACAAACAAAACAAGGCCACUUGUUCUGAGUCUUAAGGGGCUGAGUCUUGGGUGGAGCCUCCACAGAUUCUGAUUUAACUAGUCCGAGUGCACCUGGACGUCUGGGGCUUUUUGAAAGUUCACCAGGUAUUUCUAAUGUUCUGCCACAUUGAGAACUAUGCUUGUGUUGAAGUCCAUGUUUCUUAAAACUUGCAUCAGAAUCAACUGGAGGGCUGAUAAGCAACAAAUGACCGAGACCCACUCCAGAGUUUUUGACUCAGUAGGUCUGGGUGAGGCAUGAGAAUUUGCAUUUCCUUGAAAUCUUCUAUCCACUGGUUCACUCCCCAGAUAGCCACAGUGACUAGGGAUAGGCCAGGCGGAAGCUAGUAGUCAGGAGCUUCUUCCUGGUAUCCCACAGGGGUGGCAGGGGUCCAAGUCAUGGGCCACCUUCUGCUGCUUUCCCCAGGCCGUUAGCAGGGAGCUGGAUCGGAAGUGGAGCAGCCAGGGACAGGAACUGUUGCCCAUAUGGGACUCUUGUGUGAGGCGGCAGCUCUACCUGCUACGAAACAACGCCCUGAGAAUCUGCAUCUCUCCAAAGCUUCCAGAUGACGCUGAUGCUGCCCUUCUGGAACACAGUCUCAGUGCUGCAGACCGUGAGUAAAUGUCUAUUGAGAUAGCAUUUGUGCCAGGUGACAUUUGGAGAGUGGGAAGCUGUGUGGACUAUGAAUCGAUGAGUAUGUUUGCAAAUCCUGAGCCUCACUGCUCCUUCUGCUACUUAACCAAUGACAGGAUCUGGAAUAAUCAGCUAAAGAUACUCCCCCAUGACUACAGCAAAACAAAUUAUGGCACCUACUCAUAAUGUUGGUGCAAUAUUUUAAAAGUGUGCUAUAAUCAAUAAACACAUUAUAUACAUUAAUGCA